UGCUCUGUGGGAAAUGCCAGGAGCCGUACACCUAACUGACAUGUGGCUCUUUCCUCUGUCGCAG
rnacentral:miRNA from 1 species